rnacentral:lncRNA from 1 species
AAGAAAGCUCCAGGAAUAAAUCCAUAUAGGAGGAUUCAAACAUGGAGAAUGACUAGUUGCUUAAGCGUUCACGUUAGGAUCACACAAUCAAUUACCUCCUGAAUGUAUCGUCUCUAUUUCCAAUAUCUGAACACACAAGGAAACUAUAAUCUCCUCCUUCACCUUAUCGAUCUCUUCCUUACAGUAAUUCAAUCAUACCAAUAACUGCUAUUUCUACCAAUAUAUUCACCCUCAUAAUCUCCAACUGUAAUACUACGCCCUCAUAGCUUUUAGCACACAAUUACUCUCAUUCCAAUCACUAGAAUUCUUCACACAAAAUUGCCAUUCAUAUUACGGUGUUUCAUACAAACACAGACUCAUUCUCUCUAUUGAACUACAAUCAAAUUUCAGCAUUCAAUCUUUCUUCUUCUCAAAUAAUACCAAUCACAUUUCCAUUCCAUAAUUCACUUUACAAUAUUCAGAAACUCUCAAUCCUCUUAUUCAAAGAAAAUAACAAACAAAAGAAAAGAGGUAGUACCAAGCUUACCCCGGCUCACAACUAUCAGAGCAAUGGCCCUCGGCUCAUGACUAUCAUAGUCUGGCACCUUAAUUAACUUCUACAACUCCUAUAUACUUUCCCCUGAUUCUCCAGAUUCUA